rnacentral:sRNA from 1 species
UAUCUCUCCGUACGGGGAAGGAUGAGAAGCUUCGACUAAGGUUCGAUUCGAGCGCAGCGAGAAAGCGUUGCCGCAGGCAACGACCCGAAGGCCAAACCGCGCAGCGCUGGGCCAUCCUUCUCCCACCACCA